AGUGGAAUUGCUGGGUCAUAUAGUAAUUCUAUGUUUAACUUUUUGAGGAACUGCCAAACUGUUUUCCAAAGCUGCUGCACCAUUUUACACUCCCACCAGCAAU
rnacentral:pre_miRNA from 1 species